rnacentral:lncRNA from 1 species
UGACUCACAUUAUCUACAUUAUUUUUUGUCUUCCUCACAAAUAUGACCUUCAUUAAGAUCAGUGUUACAGUAUAUUUCAUCACAUAUGCUGGCCAGGUUUAAUUUGCCAGUUAAAUGUUAUUUGUUUAUAUAACAGAUACACAUACAAACAUACAACAAACAGGAAGGAUGGUGAGAUGUCAUUAUCAUUAACAGACUAUUUAACUCCUUUAUUUGGAGUAAGAGUAUAGAUCAAUGUCUUUUGUCCUAUUGUAAGUCCUAUAAAAAUAAACAGCCAUCAUUUAGGUAGAGAAGGUCUCUAUUGGAACUGCCAUUAGCAAAAUUGAAAUGUAAGAGACCAUCUAGUUAGGAUGUUACAUCUGUGUUUUAAUAUAAAUCUGUUUUCUCG